rnacentral:rRNA from 1 species
AGCGAACGCUGGCGGCAGGCUUAACACAUGCAAGUCGAGCGGGCGUAGCAAUACGUCAGCGGCAGACGGGUGAGUAACGCGUGGGAACGUACCUUUUGGUUCGGAACAACACAGGGAAACUUGUGCUAAUACCGGAUAAGCCCUUACGGGAAAGAUUAUCGCCGAAGAUCGGCCCGCGUCUGAUUAGCUAGUUGGUGAGGUAACGGCUCACCAAGGCGACGAUCAGUAGCUGGUCUGAGAGGAUGAUCAGCCACAUUGGGACUGAGACACGGCCC